AGUUUCAGUUCUGAACCCGCUGAGGAGCUCACAGUUGCUCUCAAAGCUGGGUCUGCGCCUCGUGGUUGCAGCAUUUCUGGUGCGUAGGCAAGCUAAUGUGGACCUUCAAGAGCUUCAAGAUGUCCUUCAGCCAGGCUUUCAACUUAUCCAGGUGCCAACAUCUCUGAGUGUGUCCGCAUGAAAGAGAGGCCACACCAGACACCAGACACAGGAAUUGAGGAAUGAAUUCUACCAUGUGAGUUGUCUUGCUUUUUGCUUUUUGCUAUGUUGGUUAGUGAGCAUAGUUUGAAUCCUAGAGGACCUGAAAAAGAUUUUUUCUCUGGAACAUUUACAAAUUAAUUACAGAAAUACAAAACUCUGUCCUUAAUUCGUCCACCUGCUUGUCUUCAGAAGAAACAGAAGAUGGAAUGACACGCAGAGGAGAAGGCCAUGUGUAGAUGGAGGCAGAGAUGGGAGUGAUGCAGCCACAAGAAAGGAAUCCCAGCAGCCACUCAGGAUGGAGAGAAAAGGAAUGGAAUCUCUCCUAGAACCUGUGGAGAAAAUGUGGUCUUGCCCAUACUUCGAUUUGGAUUUCUGACUUCCAGAACGCCAGAGAAUAACUUUUUAAAAUAUUAAGCCAUUUAAUUUGUGGAAAUUUAUUAUUUCAGCCACAAGAAACGAAUGCACUCUAUCGGUCAAAAAACAAAACAAAACAAAGCUCAUUUCCAGUACAAAUAGAGAGUUCUGUCUCCCAGUAUUAACUUCACAGCCCCUCAGUUCCUGUGGGAACCUGAUGGGACACCUAAGUGUCUGCAGGUGUCACAUCCCCAGCUGCACUGCUGCAUCCCCCGCCCUGUUCCUGCCCUGAGCCCACUGUAUUGUCUGAGACACAAGGGCAGUCACUGACUGUCUGCUCCUUCCUACCCCGAGAUGCAGGCACGUCCUGUGCAGAGGGGCUUCCCUUAUCCCUGGACACUCAUUCCUGCUGGGGAAACAGGACCCAGGCUGGACAAUGUUCUUAAAAACCAUGGCUUUUAGGGUAAGGAGUUGGUACUGUCACCUCCAAUAAAGAAUAUUUAGGGAUG